AUAUAUAUAAACCUCGAUACAUCAAGAGAUAGUACGUACAUGCUGAUGAUAAGACUGCACAAAGAAAGUUCACAUCGUGUAUGUGUGUAUAUUACUCUCUUUUUUUUGAGCAACAAAUUCAUUAAUUUAAAACUUAAGAAGACAAGUGAAAUGAGUUUAGGCCCAAAACAAUAUGGAUUGAAAAACAAGCUUUCGUAAGCCCAUUCACUGGUCCAUUAUUAGCUCUUGGGAUGAAAAUGAAACGACACGACAACAUGCAAAGGGAAAGAAAACAGAAAACGAUAGAUCGUCGAUAUCGUCUAAGACCCCGUAGAGCUCUGUCGUGUGUGUGUCGGUGAGAAGAGAUUGCUUGAACAAGCACUUGAGAAUCUGUUCGAAUACAGAUAUGAGAAUAGUUUUGAUAGGCUGUGUGGAGUAGAGCUUCUCUGACUGCAAGGGCUUCCCCCAUACAAGGUGAGGAUAACUGAACUUUGUGUCUUAGAUCCACGAUUCAGCUCCUUUGAAGCGUGGUCCGUAAAGAUCUAUGCUAAUCCUGCAUUUCUUGUUGUAGGGUUGCAUGAGGCGUCGGUAUUGCAGAAGAUCACAUCGUGUAUAUUACUCACUGACAUGCUGAUGAUAAGACUGCAUAAAGCAAGUUCACAUCGUGUAUGUGUGUAUAUUACUUCACGUGUAUAUAUAUACAUUAACUGAAUCAAAAAACAAGUAGAUAUAAUGGUAAAUCCUGAAUCAAUUAGCUGAAUCAAAACAAGUAGAAGAUGAAACAUAGUGUCCAUGAGAAGCGGUACCCUCCCCAUAUUUUCUUUUAUAUUUAUGUUUGCUUUGUUGGGUUCCUUUAUGUUGCUGUUAUUCUCUAAAUUCUGACAGAGAAAGAAAUGAGACAUGUAGUCAGCCAAAACAAGUGGAGUGCAUGCAAAGAUAGCGAGACAUCUAAAGCAUCAGUCAUGUGCUUUUUCAGUUACCAUCACGUGAUUGAACUAAUGAGGAUUAAGAAGUUCAAUUAUGUGGACUCGUGGAGCAUCUAAGGAUUUUCAAAGGCCCGCAACACAUUGUUUUUGAACCAAGACAUACAGCUAUCCAAGAAUGAUUCAUUUUUUUUUCAUUCUGUCUUUAUCUAAAAUUUAUACAUUUUUUAAAUCUUACGGUUCAAUUAAAGUCAUUUUCAAAAUUUUUUUUUUUUUAAUUUCAUUUAACCCACGCAUUCUCAAUGCACAUAUGUACUAUUUCUACAGAUAUGAGCUAUAUGACAGCUUGAUUCCAACAAAAUCUACUUAACAUUUCCUUCUUUUUAUUCUUCUUUUUGUGACACAAAUCUACUUAACACUUCUAAUUUAGUAACUGAUUCAAAAAAGCGGAAAUAAGAAGAUGGAGUGGAGGAGGAGGAUAAGCAAUCGGCAAUAGCAGUAGAAGAAAGAGGGGUAAACGACAGCGUAAAGCAUUCUCACAUUUCAUUAUCUUUCAUAAUUUCCAGAAGAUUAUGAAAUUGAUCUCAGAUCUGAAUCUUGUUUUGUACUUACUUGCACUUACGAAUUGACUUAAGAUUUUAUAUGUGAAGUACAUGA